AUUGAACGCUGGCGGCAGGCCUAACACAUGCAAGUCGAGCGGGGUUUUCGGACCUAGCGGCGGACGGGUGAGUAAUGCGUAGGAAGCUACCCGAUAGUGGGGGAUACCAGUUGGAAACGACUGUUAAUACCGCAUAAUGUCUACGGACCAAAGUGUGGGACCUUCGGGCCACAUGCUAUCGGAUGUGCCUACGUGGGAUUAGCUAGUUGGUGAGGUAAUGGCUCACCAAGGCGACGAUCCCUAGCUGGUUUGAGAGGAUGAUCAGCCACACUGGAACUGAGACACGGUCCAGACUCCUACGGGAGGCAGCAGUGGGGAAUAUUGGACAAUGGGCGCAAGCCUGAUCCAGCCAUGCCGCGUGUGUGAAGAAGGCCUUCGGGUUGUAAAGCACUUUCAGUAAGGAGGAAGCGUUGAGUGUUAAUAGUACUCAGCGUUGACGUUACUUACAGAAGAAGCACCGGCUAACUCUGUGCCAGCAGCCGCCGUAAUAC
rnacentral:rRNA from 1 species